rnacentral:rRNA from 1 species
AGUGAACGCUGGCGGUAGGCCUAACACAUGCAAGUCGAACGGCAGCACAGUAAGAGCUUGCUCUUACGGGUGGCGAGUGGCGGACGGGUGAGGAAUACAUCGGAAUCUACUUUUUCGUGGGGGAUAACGUAGGGAAACUUACGCUAAUACAGCAUACGACCUACGGGUGAAAGCAGGGGAUCUUCGGACCUUGCGCGAUUGAAUGAGCCGAUGUCGGAUUAGCUAGUUGGCGGGGUAAAGGCCCACCAAGGCGACGAUCCGUAGCUGGUCUGAGAGGAUGAUCAACCACACUGGAACUGAGACACGGUCCAGACUCCUACGGGAGGCAGCAGGGGGGAAUAUUGGACAAUGGGCGCAAGCCUGAUCCAGCCAUACCGCGUGGGUGAAGAAGGCCUUCGGGUUGUAAAGCCCUUUUGUUGGGAAAGAAAAGCAGCAGGUUAAUACCCCGCUGUUCUGACGGUACCCAAAGAAUAAGCACCGGCUAACUUCGUG